CUCUGUUGCUAUUUAUGUACCUGACUGGUUGUGCCUAUAUUUUUAAAAAUUCAAUCAGACUGUGAAAAACUUUUAUCAAUACACAUCCCAAAGUAUGCAUACUCUACAAAGUUAUCUUGCCAUGUGCAUUGAAUCUAUGAUAGGGUGAAAAGAGUUACAGUUUAAAUCAAGGGUACUCAAAGAACCCAUGCAUCGUAAAUGAAAAAAAUCUGUUAAGCAAGG